AGGUGAAUAGAAAGCAAUUAGACAUCUUCAGCCAGUAACAAGGUUAUGGGCACGAGCACUAAUUUUGAUAUCACAUUACACCUUCUCUAUCGCCAUCUCUAUUGGUGUCUCCGUCUUUGGCGCCGCUGGGGAAUACACAUUACUGAGAGUAGUUUGAUUGGUUCCGCCAUUGAAGCUCCUCAAAUUACCUCCACAAAACGUUAUUAGUAUGGAGACUGCAUCCAUUGAUGUGGAUAUUAAGAUUCGGGAAAUACAGAUGACGGCAAGACAUGCGCGUGAGAUUGAGAAAGGAGAAAGCUCUCCAAGUGAAGGGAGUGAAUUGGAUGAACAAAUUCCAAACGAGAUGCACUUGGUAGAGAGAGAUACUGUUGAAGGACUUAAGGACUCGAUUUGGAGUGAUGUAUUGGAGAAACAAGCAUCCAAUGUACUGCCAUUCAUAGAGGAAGAUGUUUCAGAGGAACAUGUUGAAGGUGACAUGAAUCUCACGAAUAACGUUUUAAGUGAAGCAUUGUAUGAAUCUCACGAAGCCAUGAUAUACCUAUUUAUAUGUAUAAAAGCAUUGUAUGAUUUAUUUAAAUUUGUAUUAAUAAUUAACUUGUUUAAUUUCAUUUGUUAUUCUAGAGUACAAUGGUUAGUAUAGACCUUAAUGUUGAACCUGUCG